ACUCCUACGGGAGGCAGCAGUGGGGAAUUUUGGGCAAUGGGGGAAAGCCUGAUCCAGCCAUGCCGCGUGCAGGAUGAAGGCCUUCGGGUUGUAAACUGCUUUUGUACGGAACGAAAAGACUCUGGUUAAUACUUGGGGUCCAUGACGGUACCGUAAGAAUAAGCACCGGCUAACUACGUGCCAGCAGCCGCGGUAAUACGGAGGGUGCAAGCGU
rnacentral:rRNA from 1 species